rnacentral:rRNA from 1 species
CAGAGGGUGCGAGCGUUGUUCGGAAUUACUGGGCGUAAAGCGCGCGCAGGCGGCCUUUUAAGUCUACCCGUGAAAUGCCGGAGCUCAACUCCGUGCACGCCGGGGGAUACUGGGAGGCUGGAGACAUGUAGAGGCAAGCGGAAUUCCGGGUGUAGCGGUGGAAUGCGUAGAUAGCCGGAAGAACACCUGAGGCGAAGGCGGCUUGCUGGGCAUGAUCUGACGCUGAGGCGCGAAAGCGUGGGGAGCAAACAGGAUUAGAUACCCUGGUAGUCCACGCCGUAAACGAUGGGCACUAGACGCGGGUGGGAUCGACCCCUUCCGUGUCGCAGCUAACGCGAUAAGUGCCCCGCCUGGGGAGUACGGCCGCAAGGCUG